GAGUUUGAUCCUGGCUCAGGAUGAACGCUGGCGGCGUGCUUAACACAUGCAAGUCGAACGAUGAUCCCAGCUUGCUGGGGGAUUAGUGGCGAAMGGKUGAGUAACACGUGAGUAACCYSCCCUUGACUCUGGGAUAAKCCUGGGAAACUGGGUCUAAUACCGGAUAUGACUCCUCAUCSCWUGGUGGGGGGUGGAAAGCUUUUGUGGUUUURGAUGGACUCGCGGCCUAUCAGCUUGYWGGUGGGGUAAUGGCCUACCAAGGCGAYGACKGKUAGCCGGCCUGAGAGGGUGACCGKCCACA
rnacentral:rRNA from 1 species